GAGCCAUUAGCUCAGUUGGUAGAGCAGCUAACUUUUAAUCAGGGUGUCGUAGGUCGAGUCCUACGCGGUUCA
rnacentral:tRNA from 1 species